GACGAACGCUGGCGGCGUGCCUAACACAUGCAAGUCGAACGAAAAGACCCUGCUUUUGUGCGGUGCUCGUUAGCCGAACGGGUGAGUAUCACGUGUGUAACAUCUCCCUGAAUUUGGGAUAAAUUCAGGAAAAACGGGCUCUUACCCCAUAGGAUCUCCUGCUGCUUGGUGGGGGUUGGAAAGAUGCGGCGGUUGGGGAUGGAAUAGCGGCUUAUCGGCUGGUUGGUGGGGUAGUGGCUUACCAAGGCAUUGACGGCUAGCCGGCCUGAGAGGGGGACCGGCGACAAGAGGACUGCGAGACGGCCCAGACUCCAACGGGAGGCAGCAGGGGAGAGUAUGACACAGUGAGCGGGAGCCAGAUACGACAACGCCGCGUUCGGGAUGACGGGCUUCGGGGUGUAAACCGCUGUCGCCGUAGACGAAGCGGUCUUGACGGUAAUGAGUAAAGAAGCACCGGCUAACUACGUG
rnacentral:rRNA from 1 species